rnacentral:rRNA from 1 species
GGGGAAUCUUGCGCAAUGGGCGAAAGCCUGACGCAGCCAUGCCGCGUGGAUGAUGAAGGUCUUAGGAUUGUAAAAUUCUUUCACCGGGGACGAUAAUGACAGUACCGGGAGAAUAAGCCCCGGCUAACUCCGUGCCAGCAGCCGCGGUAAUACGGAGGGGGCUAGCGUUGUUCGGAAUUACUGGGCGUAAAGCGCACGUAGGCGGCUUUGUAAGUUAGAGGUGAAAGCCCGGAGCUCAACUCCGGAAUUGCCUUUAAGACUGCAUCGCUCGAAUCAUGGAGAGGUGAGUGGAAUUCCGAGUGUAGAGGUGAAAUUCGUAGAUAUUCGGAAGAACACCAGUGGCGAAGGCGACUCACUGGACAUGUAUUGACGCUGAGGUGCGAAAGCGUGGGGAGCAAA